UCUGCCAUUUAUGUCAAGGAGCAGCAGCCAGAAGAUGUGUCAAAGCACAUUCUUCAGUGUCUCAGGUUUUGCAACUCAUUGUUAAAUUUAGAAUAAAAAAUCCCCAGCUGCCUUCCCCCCC